rnacentral:miRNA from 1 species
CGGUUGAAUUUCACGGCUGAU